CCUACGGGUGGCUGCAGUGAGGAAUAUUGGUCAAUGGACGAGAGUCUGAACCAGCCAAGUAGCGUGAAGGAUGACUGCCCUAUGGGUUGUAAACUUCUUUUAUAUGGGAAUAAAAUGUUCUAUGUGUGGGAUUUUGCAUGUACCUUAUGAAUAAGGAUCGGCUAACUCCGUGCCAGCAGCCGCGGUAAUACGGAGGAUCCGAGCGUUAUCCGGAUUUAUUGGGUUUAAAGGGGGCGUAGGUGGAUUGUUAAGUCAGUUGUGAAAGUUUGCGGCUCAACCGUAAAAUUGCAGUUGAAACUGGCAGUCUUGAGUACAGUAGAGGUAGGCGGAAUUCGUGGUGUAGCGGUGAAAUGCUUAGAUAUCACGAAGAACUCCGAUUGCGAAGGCAGCUUGCUGGACUGCAACUGACGCUGAGGCUCGAAAGUGUGGGGAUCAAACAGGAUUAGAUACCCGGGUAGUC
rnacentral:rRNA from 1 species